AGACUUUGAUCCUGGCUCAGGAUGAACGCUAGCGGCAGGCCUAAUACAUGCAAGUCGAACGGUAUAAGUUGUAGCAAUAUGACUUAGAGAGUGACGUAAGGGUGCGUAACACGUAUGCAAUCUACCCUCAACAGGAGUAUAGCUCGGGGAAACUCGGAUUAACACUCCAUAAUAUCAUUUGAAGGCAUCUUCAGAUGAUUAAAACUGUGGUGGUUGAGGAUGAGCAUGCGUCUGAUUAGUUAGUUGGAGGUGUAACGGACCCCCAAGACGAUGAUCAGUAGGGGAACUGAGAGGUUGAUCCCCCACACUGGCACUGAGAUACGGGCCAGACUCCUACGGGAGGCAGCAGUAGGGAAUAUUGGUCAAUGGGUGAGAGCCUGAACCAGCCAUGCCGCGUGCAGGAAGACGGCCUUCUGGGUUGUAAACUGCUUUUAUCUGGGGAUAAAAAGCCCAUGCGUGGGACAUUGAAGGUACCAGAUGAAUAAGCACCGGCUAACUACGUGCCAGCAGCCGCGGUAAUACGUAGGGUGCAAGCGUUGUCCGGAUUUAUUGGGUUUAAAGG
rnacentral:rRNA from 1 species